rnacentral:rRNA from 1 species
UCAGAUUGAACGCUGGCGGCAGGCCUAACACAUGCAAGUCGAACGGUAACAGGAAACAGCUUGCUGUUUCGCUGACGAGUGGCGGACGGGUGAGUAAUGUCUGGGAAACUGCCUGAUGGAGGGGGAUAACUACUGGAAACGGUAGCUAAUACCGCAUAACGUCACAAGACCAAAGAGGGGGACCUUCGGGCCUCUUGCCAUCAGAUGUGCCCAGAUGGGAUUAGCUAGUAGGUGGGGUAACGGCUCACCUAGGCGACGAUCCCUAGCUGGUCUGAGAGGAUGACCAGCCACACUGGAACUGAGACACGGUCCAGACUCCUACGGGAGGCAGCAGAAGGG